GCUAAUUCCGUGCCAGCAGCCGCGGUAAUACGGAAGGUCCGGGCGUUAUCCGGAUUUAUUGGGUUUAAAGGGAGCGUAGGCCAGAGAUUAAGCGUGUUGUGAGAUGUAGAUGCUCAACAUCUGCACUGCAGCGCGAACUGGUUUCCUUGAGUACGCACAAAGUGGGCGGAAUUCGUGGUGUAGCGGUGAAAUGCUUAGAUAUCACGAAGAACUCCGAUUGCGAAGGCAGCUCACUGGAGCGCAACUGACGCUGAAGCUCGAAAGUGCGGGUAUCGAACAGGAUUAGAUACCCUGGUAGUCCGCACGGUAAACGAUGGAUGCCCGCUGUUGGUCUGAAUAGGUCAGCGGCCAAGCGAAAGCAUUAAGCAUCCCACCUGGGGAGUACGCCGGCAACGGUGCAACUCAAAUGAAUUGACGG
rnacentral:rRNA from 1 species